rnacentral:tRNA from 1 species
AGGGUUGUAGUUAAAUUAACAUUUAAUUUGCAAUUAAAAAAUACUAUAUAUUAGUCUACCUUA